CCUACGGGUGGCAGCAGUGGGGAAUAUUGGACAAUGGGCGAAAGCCUGAUCCAGCCAUGCCGCGUGUGUGAAGAAGGCCUUCGGGUUGUAAAGCACUUUCAGUGGGGAAGAAAGCCUUGGGGCUAAUACCCUCGAGGAAGGACAUCACCCACAGAAGAAGCACCGGCUAACUCCGUGCCAGCAGCCGCGGUAAUACGGAGGGUGCGAGCGUUAAUCGGAAUUACUGGGCGUAAAGCGCGCGUAGGCGGUCUGAUAAGCCGGUUUGUGAAAGCCCCGGGCUCAACCUGGGAACGGCAUCCGGAACUGUCAGGCUAGAGUGCAGGAGAGGAAGGUAGAAUUCCCGGUGUAGCGGUGAAAUGCGUAGAGAUCGGGAGGAAUACCAGUGGCGAAGGCGGCCUUCUGGACUGACACUGACGCUGAGGUGCGAAAGCGUGGGUAGCAAACAGGAUUAGAUACCCGGGUAGUC
rnacentral:rRNA from 1 species